UCCCUCUCAGUAUCACACCUGGAGAGUUCUCAGCACUCUACCAGUCUUGGCUACGGGAGGAAGAAUCAAGCAAAGACACCCCCUUUCCAUUCCUAGCUGGCAGUGGCUAGUGAGUGGAAGGCAAUCUGCUACAAGU